GAGCGACGAUCGAUCAUCAAACUUCGAAAUAUUCAACAAUGACGCACGCAACUGGUCUUGUCUAAUACUAACGGGCUGGGCCAAAGGAUCUGAUAUAAGGCCCAAUUAUUCUUGCGCGAUAAACUUCUGUUUCAGGGGACGGCCCAAGUAGUCUUCCGAACUAAGCUUAUCUUCUUUCAGGAAGUUUCCUUUUUUGUUGUUGCAUGAUC